ACCAGGGUAUCUCAAAUGAUUUCAAAACCCGAAACAUGAUUAAAGGAUUUUCAGAAAGCCUACAGAUUAAGCUGGUUCUUACAGUCUAAGCAGUCAGAGUACUUGAUGACUAUUUUCAGCUUUGAAUGCUGUAAGCCGGUUCUGGAAUGAUGGAGCUCCGAGAAAUGAGAGUCACCAGUAGAC